CUUCACCGAGCCCAGCCACAGCGGCCGGUCGUCGGCGCGGCCCGCCGCCUGCCCGUAGGUCUCCAGCAGGGCCUGGGCCUC
rnacentral:antisense_RNA from 1 species